GGUUUCUGAUCUUCCAUUUCUGGGUAACUCGACCAUUCUUGUUCACUCGGGGAAAGCUUCUCGAUGCUUCCUUUCUUGUUGUAUAUUCGACAUAGUACCCAAUCAUCAAGCUGCAAUUAAGCAAACCACUUAGAUAAAGAUUCAA